GCCCACUGAAUUUAAUUUUUAAUGGCCGCAGUAUCCUGACUGUGCAAAGGUAGCAUAAUAAUUUGUCUCCUAAUUAGAGGCUUGAAUGAACGGUUGAACGAGAAAUAACCUGUCUCUNUUUUAUUUUUGAAUUUUACUUUUAAGUGAAAAGGCUUAAAUUUCUUUUAAAGACGAUAAGACCCUAUAAAUCUUAAUAUUAAUUANUUUYUAUUUUUAAACCYGGUAGUUAAAUAAAAAUUUAAAGUUAAAAUAUUAUAUUGGGGCGAUAAAAAUAUAAAAUUAACUAUUUUUACUUACACACAAUUAUUUUUGAUUUAUUUUAUAAUAGAUCCUUUUUAAAGAUUUCUAGAUUAAGUUACUUUAGGGAUAACAGCGUUAUUUUUUUUAAGAGUUCCUAUCGAAAAAAAAAAUUGCGACCUCGAUGUUGAAUUAAAUUAUCCUUAUAAAGCAAAAAUUAUAYGGGAAAGUCUGUUCGACUUUUAAAAUUUUACAUGA
rnacentral:rRNA from 1 species